UACAGAGGUCUCAAGCGUUGUUCGGAUUCAUUGGGCGUAAAGGGUGCGUAGGUGGCGCUGUAAGUCGGGUGUGAAAUUUCGGAGCUUAACUCCGAAACUGCAUUCGAUACUGCGGUGCUUGAGGACUGGAGAGGAGACUGGAAUUCAUGGUGUAGCAGUGAAAUGCGUAGAGAUCAUGAGGAAGACCAGUGGCGAAGGCGGGUCUCUGGACAGUUCCUGACACUGAGGCACGAAGGCCAGUGGAGCAAACGGG
rnacentral:rRNA from 1 species